rnacentral:rRNA from 1 species
UGAGCAAUCUGCCCUUCUCUUCGGAAUAAGCGUUGGAAACGACGUCUAAUGCCGAAUACGACCUCCUUUCGCAUGAUCGGAGGUGGAAAGCUCCGGCGGAGAAGGAUGAGCUCGCGGCCUAUCAGCUUGUUGGUGAGGUAAUGGCUCACCAAGGCAUUGACGGGUAGCCGGCCUGAGAGGGUGACUGGCCACACUGGGACUGAGACACGGCCCAGACCUCUACGGGAGG